rnacentral:lncRNA from 1 species
GAUCGUUCUUCAUUUCUCACACAGACACAGAAUGGGGCUGGAGUCUUUAUUAGAAAUCAUUUACAUAUGUAUAAAGUAACAAAUUAACAACAAAAACCCUGACAUAAAUCAGUCGUAACAGGGAGAAAGGGGAGGGGGAGGGGAUCCCAGAGAGAGAUUGACGUUUUGGUAGAAAUAUUUAUUACAAGCUAGAGACGGACAGAGAGGAUGAGGGGGAGAUAGAGGAGAACAGACGGAGGGAGAGGAUCUGAGACACGGCUGAGAGAGAGAUAGAUCUGUUUGUGUCUGUAAAAUGUAUUAUGCAAGAAAUGGCGGUGGAAAUGACUUACUAUGCAAAUACUGAUAUAAAAACCAUCAUAUGGAAGUAAAGUUGGAGUCGCGUGAUAUGGUGUGUGGUCCUCCCACUUCGACUCAGGAAACCAUGCCGUUUAUGAGGCUACACAUGAAAUAAGUUACGAUGAACUUCACAGGGUGGUGAAAGUGCACUGGGAUCUUGAUGCUCCUUUACAAUAGAAGUGGUGACAUGAUGAUCGAUGCUUGAAUGUUGUUUGACGAAUACCUCUCUUAUCCAUAAUAAUGUCCUCGUGUAGACUAGCCUACCAGCGCUCUCUCUUAUCCAUAAUAAUGUCCUCGUGUAGACUAGCCUACCAGCGCUCUCUUUAUCCAUAUAAUGUCUCGUGUAGACUACGGCCUACCAGGUCUCUCUUAUCCAUAAUAAUGUCCUCGUGUAGACUAUGCCUACCAGCGCUCUCUCUUAUCCAUAAUAAUGUCCUCGUGUAGACUAGCCUACCAGCGCUCUCUCUAUCCAUAAUAAUGUCCUCGUGUAGACUAGCCUACCAGCGCUCUCUCUUAUCCAUAAAUAAUGUCCUCGUGUAGACUAGCCUACCAGCGCUCUCUCUUAUCCAUAAUAAUGUCCUCGUGUAUAGACUAGCCUACCAGCGCUCUCUCUUAUCCAUAAUAAUGUCCUCGUUGGAUAUAGA